CGAAUAGCGAAAUGAAGAGAGCUAUCCGUCGACAGUCAAGUUUAAAUUCAUUUUAAUACUGUCAUGGAAUUGCUCUCUUUGUAUAAUAUUCG
rfam:Drosophila busckii chromosome 2R sequence.